AUGAACGCUGGCGGCGUGCCUAAUACAUGCCCGUCGAGCGAACAGACGAGGAGCUUGCUCCUCUGACGUUAGCGGCGGACGGGUGAGUAACACGUGGAUAACCUACCUAUAAGACUGGGAUAACUUCGGGAAACCGGAGCUAAUACCGGAUAAUAUAUUGAACCGCAUGGUUCAAUAGUGAAAGACGGUUUUGCUGUCACUUAUAGAUGGAUCCGCGCCGCAUUAGCUAGUUGGUAAGGUAACGGCUUACCAAGGCAACGAUGCGUAGCCGACCUGAGAGGGUGAUCGGCCACACUGGAACUGAGACACGGUCCAGACUCCUACGGGAGGCAGCAGUAGGGAAUCUUCCGCAAUGGGCGAAAGCCUGACGGAGCAACGCCGCGUGAGUGAUGAAGGUCUUCGGAUCGUAAAACUCUGUUAUUAGGGAAGAACAAAUGUGUAAGUAACUAUGCAUGUCUUGACGGUACCUAAUCAGAAAGCCACGGCUAACUACGUG
rnacentral:rRNA from 1 species